GGGGGAUAACGUAGCGAAAGUUACGCUAAUACCGCAUACGAUCUAAGGAUGAAAGCAGGGGACCGCAAGGCCUUGUGCUCCUGGAGCGGCCGAUAUCUGAUUAGCUAGUUGGUGAGGUAAAGGCUCACCAAGGCAACGAUCAGUAGCUGGUCUGAGAGGACGACCAGCCACACUGGAACUGAGACACGGUCCAGACUCCUACGGGAGGCAGCAGUGGGGAAUUUUGGACAAUGGGGGCAACCCUGAUCCAGCAAUGCCGCGUGAGUGAAGAAGGCCUUCGGGUUGUAAAGCUCUUUUGUCAGGGAAGAAAAGGUCGUGGCUAGUAUCCACGGCUGCUGACGGUACCUGAAGAAUAAGCACCGGCUAACUACGUGCCAGCAGCCGCGGUAAUACGUAGGGUGCAAGCGUUAAUCGGAAUUACUGGGCGUAAA
rnacentral:rRNA from 1 species